UUCGGGAAACCGGAGCUAAUACCGGAUAAUAUAUUGAACCGCAUGGUUCAAUAGUGAAAGACGGUUUUGCUGUCACUUAUAGAUGGAUCCGCGCCGCAUUAGCUAGUUGGUAAGGUAACGGCUUACCAAGGCAACGAUGCGUAGCCGACCUGAGAGGGUGAUCGGCCACACUGGAACUGAGACACGGCCCAG
rnacentral:rRNA from 1 species